GAUGAACGCUGGCGGCGUGCCUAAUACAUGCAAGUCGAGCGAACGGACGAGAAGCUUGCUUCUCUGAUGUUAGCGGCGGACGGGUGAGUAACACGUGGAUAACCUACCUAUAAGACUGGGAUCACUUCGGGAAACCGGAGCUAAUACCGGAUAAUAUUUUGAACCGCAUGGUUCAAAAGUGAAAGACGGUCUUGCUGUCACUUAUCGAUGGAUCCGCGCUGCAUUAGCUAGUUGGUAAGGUAACGGCUUACCAAGGCAACGAUGCAUAGCCGACCUGUGAGGGUGAUCGGCCACACUGGAACGGAGACGCGGUCCAGACUCCUACGAGAGGCAGCAGUAGGGAAUCGUCCGCAAUGGGCGAAAGCUUGACAGAGCAACGCCGCGUGAGUGAUGAAGGUCUUCGGAUCGUAAAACUCUGUUAUUAGGGAAGAACAUAUGUGUAAGGAACUGUGCACAGCGUGACGGUACCUAAUCAGAAAGCCACGGCUAACUACGUG
rnacentral:rRNA from 1 species